rnacentral:lncRNA from 1 species
AUUACAAAGUCUCACCGCAGAUAUAGAUGGAAAUAAGUGAGAGCGAAUCUCAAGAGACUUCGAAUCGUCUUAUUCCCAUCGCUAGGUACGAUGCAUGUUACAAUGAUGCGCAGACGUGUGACCAACGACCACGUUGUCUGCAUGCCGUUCAAUUGAACCGGCGGCAUCUACGGGUAAAUCGUCCGUCUCGUUAUCGUUCCGUUAAAGCACCACGAUACCGGUCCUCUAUUGUCACGACUACGACGCUUCCCCCAUCUUUGGAGUCUUGUGUGCCUUUGGCCAUGUGUUUUCCAUUCUUCGUUACGGAUCUCCAUUGACGUUAAUUGCUAAUACGAAUAGUUAAGAGAAGAUAUCGAGUAAAGCACUUCGACUGUAAUUUUAUUUUUAAUGCUAACAGGUCAUGUUGUGAAAACCCGUUAAGGAUUCUACCUAUGAAACAAGGAACGAAGUAAAGGUCCAACGCGUUAUGAGUGUCAGCAAUGUUUUGAUAUAUAAGUUGACGUAAUCGAGUGACAGAUUUAUAGAGGAACACAAGAUCUCGUGUUACAAUGAACAGUUACAUAUAUUCGUCACGUUUGAAAGCCCACGAGAGUAUAAAACCGCGUACCAGUAGCUGUUCUUGAAAAAUUCGAGCAUCUACUUCCUAUUGGAGCUGUUCGAGGUAAUUAACAUCCAAAGAUUUAUGGAGUAACUUCGAAGCCAAUGAACUGAUAACUAAUUAGACU